GGACGGGUGAGUAACGCGUGAAGAUCUACCUUCAGGGUCGGGACAACCACUGGAAACGGUGGCUUAUACCGAAUGUGCCGAGAGGUGAAAGGCUUGCUGCCUGAAGAAGAGCUUGCGUCUGAUUAGCUAGUUGGUGUGGUAAAGGCGCACCAAGGCGACGAUCAGUAGCUGGUCUGAGAGGAUGAUCAGCCACACUGGGACUGAGACACGGCCCAGACUCCUACGGGAGGCAGCAGUGGGGAAUUUUCCGCAAUGGGCGAAAGCCUGACGGAGCAAUACCGCGUGAGGGAGGAAGGCUCUUGGGUUGUAAACCUCUUUUCUCAGGGAAGAAAAAAAUGACGGUACCUGAGGAAUAAGCAUCGGCUAACUCCGUGCCAGCAGCCGCGGUAAUACGGAGGAUGCAAGCGUUAUCCGGAAUGAUUGGGCGUAAAGGGUCCGCAGGUGGCAUUGUUUGUCUGCUGUUAAAGAGUCACGCUCAACGUGAUCAAAGCAGUGGAAACUACAAAGCUAGAGUAUGGUCGGGGCAGAGGGAAUUCCUGGUGUAGCGGUGAAAUGCGUAGAUAUCAGGAAGAACACCGGUGGCGAAGGCGCUCUGCUAGGCCAAAACUGACACUGAGGGACGAAAGCUAGGGGAGCGAAUGGGAUUAGAUACCCCAGUAGUC
rnacentral:rRNA from 1 species